CUAAGCUUGCCCAACUGGGCAGAGGAUCCUCCUCCAGUCACCACUGGCCUACUCCUGUGAUUUCUCAUCAUACGCCAGUGGAUGUGUUCCUUUCAUUCUGCAGCACACAGGACACAGCCAAUAUCAGCGCACUGGAAAUAAACAAUGCAGCAGGACCAUGCCUCGUGCACUUAAUUAGUCAAAUAAAGGUCAAGGCUCACCAGGACCUGCAGGCCCAUGUGCCUUGCAAGCCACAUUUCAGGUGUGUCAAAAACUGACAUCAAGCUGCCUACCUAUCAGUUCACUAGGAAAGCAGUAUCUGUCCUCAGCAAAGUGUGACUGCUGCCCUUUGGACGCUGAAUUUCCACGGACUAUUUGUGACACAUUGCCUGCAGGUUUUUCAAAUCUGAUGUGUCAGGCCCUCCAGGGAAAAGAGGAUCACUAGUAGUACCGUUUGAUUGAUGCAGUAAGACUGCCUCUUGGAUUUCUGUUAUGUUCUGGUUUUACAUGGUCAUGAGCACACGUUAUUAGCUGUUGCGUUGUUUGUUCAAGCUGAGACUCUGUGAAUGUAUCUGUACUGUUGCUAUUGUAAUGACAAGCAUGGGAAAGAUUUUAGCUUUUGCUUUAAAAAAUAACUCUUUAAGACUGUU